UGGGCAACCUGCCCUCAGCUCUGGGAUAACUCCGGGAAACCGGGGCUAAUACCGGAUAUGACCACUCCUGGCAUCUGGGGUGGUGGAAAGUUCUUCGGCUGAGGAUGGGCCCGCGGCCUAUCAGCUUGUUGGUGGGGUUACGGCCCACCAAGGCGACGACGGGUAGCCGGCCUGAGAGGGCGACCGGCCGCACUGGGACUGAGACACGGCCCAGACUCCUACGGGAGGCA
rnacentral:rRNA from 1 species